UACGUAGGGUGCAAGCGUUGUCCGGAAUCACUGGGCGUAAAGGGUGCGUAGGCGGUUUGUCGCGUCGGGAGUGAAAACCCAGGGCUUAACUCUGGGCUUGCUUUCGAUACGGGCAGACUAGAGGUAUGCAGGGGAGAACGGAAUUCCUGGUGUAGCGGUGAAAUGCGCAGAUAUCAGGAGGAACACCGGUGGCGAAGGCGGUUCUCUGGGCAUUACCUGACGCUGAGGAGCGAAAGUGUGGGGAGCGAACAGG
rnacentral:rRNA from 1 species